rnacentral:rRNA from 1 species
GGGAUUGUGAUAGGAUGUCCACUUAACUUGGAGUCCGAACUCUCACUUUCUAACCCUGUGCAUUUGUUUGGGAUAGUAGCCUCUCGGGGUGAACUCCUAUUCACUUAUAAACACAAAGUCUAUGAAUGUAUUUAAUUUAUAACAAAAUAAAACUUUCAACAACGGAUCUCUUGGCUCUCGCAUCGAUGAAGAACGCAGCGAAAUGCGAUAAGUAAUGUGAAUUGCAGAAUUCAGUGAAUCAUCGAAUCUUUGAACGCACCUUGCGCUCCAUGGUAUUCCGUGGAGCAUGCCUGUUUGAGUGUCAUGAAUACUUCAACCCUCCUCUUUUCUAGUGAAAGAGAAGGUGCUUGGUUUCUGAGCGUUUUGCUGGCCUCACGGUCGAGCUCGCUCGUAAUGCAUUAGCAUCCGCAAUCGAACUUCGGAUUGACUUGGCGUAAUAGACUAUUCGCUGAGGAAUUCUAAUCUUCGGAUUAGAGCCGGGUUAGGUUAAAGGAAGCUUCUAAUCCUAAUGUCUAUAUUUUAAGAUUAGAUCUCAAAUCAGGUAGGACUACCCGCUGAACUUAAGCAUAUCAAG